ensembl:lncRNA
CCAGACAUGAGCAUCCCGUUUUUGGGAAUGAAGACAGAGCAGUCCACAAGUUUUAAGAAGUGGUUCAGGCCAUGCAUUGAAACUGACCUGAGAAGACUCUACUCACACACCUGUUCUGGAGGACUUCUGACAGGAGGUGGUGGUCUGGAUCUGGGUGAGGAGGUGGAGGUCUUGCUCUGGGUGAGGAGGCAGACACCUUGGGACAAACGACAUGUUACCUUUUUAACCUUGUACAGUUCUAGAGUAUCUUCUACAGUAACACGUGGGAAGGACGGCCAUUAUUUUAGCUUUGAUAUUAUCCAGUUGGUAACUCUGCACCAAAGUCGUUGUUUAACGUCAUUCCAUUGGGUAGGGUUUAACUUCCGUGGCAAUUAAUGACAGCAGAUAUUUAAAAACGUACAAAAGCUGAAGUAACAAGAACACCAAGCAGUAUCGAUAUUAAAUCAAAUAUACUCAGCCAUAUUCAGGUGCUGGGUUCCGUUGAAGAAAUGUCAAAUUGUCUUCCACCUUCAAAUGAUUUUCAGCCUUCACUGAUGUCAAAAAUGGGCCCGCAAGUAGAACGCCGUUUUGUACGUGGCGGGAGUCCCGUCACGUCAACGUGGUUAAAAGUACGGCGCAAGCAACCAUCGGAAAUUAUCAACAUAUUGUACGACGUACGUGUCAGUAUGUAUUUAAUAUCAAACUUAAGUUGUUUAAGAUAAGGGGCAACAAUUCCCAAUGGAAACGACUGAAAAAUAGUUUGCGUUGGCAGCGGCUCGAGGUUACGCAAAUACAAUCCAGAACGUUCCGCCAGAUUCCCUCAGGGGACUCCCGUCCAACUAACUGCCAGGUGGUUUCUUAUGGUUGCCAAGACUACAACAUUCUAUGCCAACCAUUGAGACUAAAUCAAGUGACCGUACUCAGAACCUUCCACGGCGGGAAGCACAAACCGUCCGACUGGAAUCCGAACAUUCCGGCCGGAACCAACCAAAGAAAAAACAUAACCAGCGCCUCACCUUGAGCUGAACGGAGGAAGAUCCUGAAGUCCAGCGAUGGUCUUCAUUAAAACUACAGCCAACAGACUUACCUUGAUGUGAUCCGUUUGUUGCUGUUGGACAUUACUACUAUUCAGUGUACCUUUAGAUUAUUAUGCACCCAGUGUGUACAAGUUAUAUCACUCAAAACCGUACGAAGAACCAAACUAGCAUGUACGUCCCACAACAACUUUAAACCUAAAAUCAUUCAAUACAAAACCGUGUCUACAUUUUACAAUUAUCUAGAUUAUUCAGGGUACAAACCAUAAAGAGAAAAUCUAAACGUUGAGCUCACAGAGAGCCGACCAUAGCCCUGCAACGUCACCCUGACCGCCUCAUCACCAACAGCAAAUCAUGCCAACACACACACACGCACACACAGUGAGAAGUGGGCAUCUGAGUGAAAGGACUGCCCAUAAUAAAAAGAGCCCAACUCCUGAACUAUCCAACCAUCUUCAUGGUUUAAAGAUUUACAGACUUGACAUGCCAUUGUGUUCUAAUCACCUUUGUCUGCUCCCUCGUUACUUACAAAACUCUACAUCUCCAUCACUAGAGUGUUGCAUCCUACUCAUGGGGGUGUGGUCUGAGUGAGCAGAGAUGCAUGCUGGGAUACAGUGCGGUCUGAAGUCUACAGUUCUAUAGACACGCCCCUCAGGAGAAACCAAGUGUUUGAGAAUCUGUCUUGACAUCAGUUACAUGAGCUGGAAUAUCCUUCAAGAUGGUGCCAGGAUUCUCAGAGGAGAAAGGCCAAGAGGAAGAUGUGAGGGUUCUUCCUCUCAGCCAGUGGAACACAACAACGGUCUUCAUCAGAGUACCAUGGAACACUUUGAAACAUUCUCCUCUUUACACCUUGAGCUCGAAGUGCGCACUAGUUGGAGUUCCCAGAUUGGUUCGGAUUUAAGGGAACCAAUAGUUCAGCUAGUCCUGUCCAAAACAAAUACAGUACAGCCUGAGAAGACGUGCAACUGAGAGCAAGACAAGAUCCACAGGGCUCUCCAUCCAUCCAGCCAGGUAGGAAGAGCCGUCUCAUUACAGGUCUGAAGGUCAUCUUGAAUACCCUUUUAGGUCCCUUUCCAACUUCAGACUCCUUGUGGAAUGCCUUUAGGUGUCCAUCCUCCAUUGAUCCUGAUUGGUGUAGUCCUAGUUUGAAGUCACUGAUCUGAACACGCCGCUUGCAUCCUUUUACACUUGAUUUGGAUAAUCUCCUUCCUGCCCAGUGUGUUGGAUAUCGCUCCGGAGCGUCACUCAGGGCUCUUCAUGUCUACUGGAGGCCUCAAGUAAACAUGUGGCCGUCCAUCAGGUAUGAUUUAGUUGACCAUUCCAAUAUCCCAAGCCAACCACACAGACCCCCGUAUGAACAUUAUCACUGUCAAAGCAAGCAGGACGCACAGACAUAGAACCCAGGACACGCACGUAGAACCCCAUGCCAGGUGGAAGCAAACAUGCGUAGAACCCCAUGCCAGGUGUGUGUGGGAGACACACACACACACAGUAGAACCCUAGUGAUGCUCAAAAAUCAUCCAUCUCAUGUCAAACCCAAACACACACACACACACACACACACACACACUACUGAGCCAUAAAAGACCAAACAAUCAUGCAGGGUAAAAACCUCAUGCCAAAUAUCAUCCCAUCAUCCACCCCCAGCUCUCCUGCCAGGGCACCCAGAACAGAACAACCAAUGUCUCCAGAGACGUAAAUUAUGUACAACAUUCUUCAGUGGCGUCCCACAUUGGUGAUGGAUUAUGCUUGGCGUCUCCAAAAUGUGUCACAGGUUGAUUCAACAUCUCUGAAGUCAUGUCUUUGUAGUCCAGUGGUUUCCUGAAUGAGGGGCCUUCACAGAUGCAAACGGUGCAGCUUUUGUCAGCCUGAGGACAGGAAGGAGGUCAUCUGUUCAGAAGACCACCCAGUGGAGGGGGGUGGCUCUUGAAGAGCAGGAUCCAUCAUGGGAUGGCCCCAAAUAAGACCUUCUUGGAAAUGAAACUGUUCCUGAGGAGUCACGAUGCCUGGAGGGGACUGUUGAAUGUGUUCCAUGGUUCUCGGUGUCAGACUGAAGUUGUGUUUUAGUCGUUGAGAUGAGGAGCCCCCUCAUCUCCCCCUGGUGUUUCUCCUUCUGAAUCCCUGUCUCCAUCUUAAAGAACAUUCCAGUCCAUGUAACUGACGUCACGACCGUUUCUCAAACACUUGGUUUCCCCUGAGGGGGCGUGUCUACAGACCUGUAGACUUGAGACAGCUCUGUAUCCCAGUAUGCACCUCUGCUCACUCAGACCACACCUUCGUCAGUAAAGCAACACUCAUUUGAUGCUGAUGCAGAGCUCAGGAAAGUAGCUGGAAAGAAGACUGAAGAUAUCAGAGCCCAACCCAUUACUCCAGCUUACAACAAUAACUUAGAGCCUGUAACCAUUUUAACAAAUCAUUAAAACCAACAUAAACCAAACCAAACGCCAAAGUAACCCAUGAACCAAUAAAACAUCCUUACUACUCAGAUCAACCUUCAGGUAACGGGUUAACUCACCAGGAAGCCAAAAUACAUCAAUGUGCCCAAGAGUAAUGAGAAACGUAUGACUUACAGUUUGCAGUUCCUCUUCAUGGUAAAGUUGGGAUACUCACAGAACUGCAGUUAAA